GAUGGAGCGACGCCGCUGGGGGAUGAAUGGCUUCGGCCGUAAACCCCUGUCAUUUGCGAACAAACCUUGCUAUUUAAAAGAUGGCGAGCUGAUUGUAGCGAAAGAGGAAGGGACGGCUAACUCUGUGCCAGCAGCCGCGGUAAUACAGAGGUCCCAAGCGUUGUUCGGAUUCACUGGGCGUAAAGGGUGCGUAGGUGGUGAGGUAAGUCGGAUGUGAAAGCUCCGAGCUCAACUCGGAAAUGGCAUUGGAAACUACCUUGCUCGAGGGUUUGAGGGGGGACUGGAAUACUUGGUGUAGCAGUGAAAUGCGUAGAUAUCAAGUAGAACACCAGUGGCGAAGGCGAGUCCCUGGAAAACUCCUGACACUGAGGCACGAAAGCUAGGGGAGCAAACAGGAUUAGAUACCCUGGUAGUCCUAGCCGUAAACGGUGCGUAUUUGCUGUAAAAGGAAUCGACCCCUUUUGUGGCGUAGCCAACGCGUUAAAUACGCCGCCUGGGAAGUACGGUCGCAAGAUUA
rnacentral:rRNA from 1 species